GAUGAACGCUGGCGGCGUGCCUAAUACAUGCAAGUCGAGCGAACGGACGAGAAGCUUGCUUCUCUGAUGUUAGCGGCGGACGGGUGAGUAACACGUGGAUAACCUACCUAUAAGACUGGGAUAACUUCGGGAAACCGGAGCUAAUACCGGAUAAUAUUUUGAACCGCAUGGUUCAAAAGUAAAAGACGUUCUUGCUGUCACUUAUAGAUGGAUCCGCGCUGCAUUAGCUAGUUGGUAAGGUAACGGCUUACCAAGGCAACGAUGCAUAGCCGACCUGAGAGGGUGAUCGGCCACACUGGAACUGAGACACGGUCCAGACUCCUACGGGAGGCAGCAGUAGGGAAUCUUCCGCAAUGGGCGAAAGCCUGACGGAGCAACGCCGCGUGAGUGAUGAAGGUCUUCGGAUCGUAAAACUCUGUUAUUAGGGAAGAACAGAUGUGUAAGUAACUGUGCACAUCUUGACGGUACCUAAUCAGAAAGCCACGGCUAACUACGUG
rnacentral:rRNA from 1 species